CGGACGGGUGAGUAACGCGUGGGUAACCUGCCUUAUACAGGGGGAUAACAGUCAGAAAUGGCUGCUAAUACCGCAUAAGCGCACAGAGCUGCAUGGCUCAGUGUGAAAAACUCCGGUGGUAUAAGAUGGACCCGCGUUGGAUUAGCUUGUUGGCGGGGUAACGGCCCACCAAGGCGACGAUCCAUAGCCGGCCUGAGAGGGUGAACGGCCACAUUGGGACUGAGACACGGCCCAGACUCCUACGGGAGGCAGCAUG
rnacentral:rRNA from 1 species